rnacentral:rRNA from 1 species
GCAGACGGGUGAGUAACACGUAGGUAACCUGCCCUCAAGACGGGGAUAACGCCUGGAAACGGGCGCUAAUACCGGAUGACCUUAGUUGGGGAAGCCCCGGCUAAGGAAAGGCUUUGGCGCUUGAGGAGGGGCCUGCGGCCCAUCAGUUAGUUGGUAGGGUAACGGCCUACCAAGGCGAAGACGGGUAGGGGGUGUGAGAGCACGGCCCCCCACACUGGGACUGAGACACGGCCCAGACUCCUACGGGAGGCAGCAGCGGGGAAUAUUGCGCAAUGGACGGAAGUCAGACGCAGCGACGCCGCGUGGGUGAAGAAGGCCUUCGGGUUGUAAAGCCCUUUUCUGUGGGAAGAGAAAGGACGGUACCAUAGGAAUAAGCGUCGGCUAACUACGUGCCAGCAGCCGCGGUAAGACGUAGGACGCGAGCGUUAUCCGGAUUUACUGGGCGUAAAGCGUGUGUAGGCGGCGUGACAAGUUGGGCGUGAAAGCCCCGUGCUCAACGCGGGGAGGCCGCACAAUACUGUCAGGCUAGAGGGCAUCAGAGGGGUGUGGAAUUCCCGGAGUAGCGGUAAAAUGCGCAGAUAUCGGGAGGAACACCGGUGGCGAAAGCGGCACCCUGGGGUGCACCUGACGCUGAGAGACGACAGCUAGGGGAGCGAACAGGAUUAGAGACCCUGGUAGUCCUAGCCGUAAACGAUGGAUGCUAGGUGUGGGAGUGAAGAACUUCUGUGCCGCAGCGAACGCGAUAAGCAUCCCGCCUGGGGAGUACGGCCGCAAGGUUAAAACUCAAACGAAUUGACGGGGACCCGCACAAGCAGCGGAGCGUGUGGUUUAAUUCGAUGCUACACGAAGAACCUUACCUGGGAUUGACAUAUGGGUGGUAGUGAGCCGAAAGGCAAGCGACCCUUCGGGGAGCCUAUACAGGUGCUGCAUGGCUGCCGUCAGCUCGUGCCGUGAGGUGUAGGGUUAAGUCCAGUAACGAGCGCAACUCCUGUCCUUAGUUACAAGUGUCUAAGGGGACUGCCGGCGGGAAGCCGGAGGAAGUUGGGGAUGAGGUCAAGUCAGCAUGGUCGUUAUAUCCAGG